GCAAUCUGAACAAAACAGGCACACUAUUAACUACAAGCUAUUGGCUCCAUUUGAGGACGUGGGACGUUUUAACAAUAUCUAAUUCAAUACACAACCCACAUGAAUGAUAAAGAUUGAGGUGAAAAUUUCAACUGCGAAGCAACAGUUUUUACGUGUUUUGGGUAUUGUGUCAGUCGUGAUGAAAGAAAGCCUUACUUGAUGUCCCUGGGGGCAGUCAUAAGGGCCACGUAGAACCAUCUCCACUUUCCAGCGGCAAGGUACGCAACGAUAGCAACUAAAAUUAAUUGUACCAGACAUUUCCAGCCUAGGAAGAAACACACAACGGCACUAAGAGCCACCAAAACUGCAACUAUCGCUGUCAUGACCAGUAUCCGCCGUAUUAGGACACGAACUGGUCUUGUCUUCAGGCUUUUGUGUCGCGUGGCGCUUUCUCUACUUGACUCCUCGCCGACCGCUGCUUUCCCGCUCUCCAAAUCCUCCGACUGGCGAUUUUCGCAAAUCUACCAUCAACAAAAAGUUUCUUUCACUUUUCGAGGUUAAGUUGUUAUUGACAUUUUCAAAUGUCAAAGGGGUUGCAGAAAUUUUUUGUAAUUUAAUAGCAAUCCGCAGAGAUUUAUCUACACUUUUGGAAAAUAAUAAUGUUUAAAUAUUUAGUAUAAAAAAAUUGACGGGAAAUAAAAAUAGCUCGAAACUAUUUUUUAUGUAGACAACCAGCAAUAUUCGAAAAAACCACGACCACAUUAUCUGCUUGUUGUGUUGCCUAAGGUAAGAAGGAAUUUACAGAUGUCGCUAAAAACCGAUUUUUGUAUUUUUUUGGCGCCAAAAAAAAAAUUUGUAAUUAUUAAUUAUUAAUAAUUUUAUUUUAUUUGAACGACCAAAAUGGCUUUACUAAAAAAUCUAAUUUUUGGUUUUGCAGAUAAUUUGUUUAAUUUUAUAUUGUAGAACUAAUGCAAACCAUAAAAAAUGUUAUUUAUUCUUAAAAUACCCCGUGCUUCCAAUUUAAAAUCCAAAAGUAUCUAAAACUAUUGUAAUAUUCAUCAGACAUCUAUAAGUUGUUUUUAAAACAGAAGUUCAUUAACAUUUGACCGAUGCAAGGUCAAAGAAAAGUGCAAAAUUAUAUGUCGAUACACUAAAAAUUAAUCUCUUUUUUUUAUGUAAUGAUACCCAUCUUUAAAAACAAUAAUUUGAAAUGCACUCUUUGUUUUACUGAAACUACAGAGAUUACUGAAUAAAUAUAAUCGCUGGAAGUAAUUUUAUUGUUUUGGCUAAAAAUUACAAACGGAAAUAAAUGGUGAAAGAAUAGAAUUUCUGUUGCCUACUAACACACAUUUGCUUGAACACUACGCGAAACGUAAAUACAUUUCUUACGUACCUCUCUUUCUACAUUCAUUUUUUUAACAUACGUAAAGUUAUACUGAACUUGAAAAUUGAAUGCUUAACUAACGCUCGAAAAUAUCAGUAAUUAUCCUCGUGAUAAAAUUGCUUCGUCGGGAGUAUUAUUUUCUGUAAUUGGUGGUAUUAUGCACGUAAGGAAAAAAUUGUAGACAACAAAUGGAAUAAUCCCCAACUGAUGAGGAAGUUUUUUUUUAUAGUAGUUUUUUACCUAAUAAUAAUAAAUCACGGAAACAAUUAAAUUAGCUCAUACACUUGAAACCUAAGCAUUGUAUGUUUAUGACCAUUAAAAAAAUUGUUGUAAUUAUUAGAAUUUCUGAUAAAUGGUAACCACUUCACAGAAACCACUCUGGCCUUUGGUCAUCUUUGUAACGUAUUUUUUUUAACUAGUAAUUUCAUUUACUUAUUUCGGUACUUAAGUAUAGGUUGGUAGUACCAUUGAGUUUAUAAAAACUGUUAAUUGGAUAAAUUUUGUGGUAUAUUUAUUAACACUUAUAUAACAGUGGAAAUCCCUAUACUUAAUUGACAAAAAUGAUUUUUUUAAUACAAGGCUGAAGACGUAUAACCAUAGAUAAAUACAGGAAAUGUUCUGUAAAUUUAUUAUUUGUACCAUUAUUUUUUAUUUUUUAUUAUUUCUAUAAUAUGUACGAGUAAAUUACAUACAAAGAUUAGUAAACCCGGCAAUGACGAAAAAUAAAAGAAUAAGUCUACUAUUAAUGAAUUUUUAAAAAGACGUUAAUACAUUAUUUGUCAAUUAGACUCUUGUGUUCUUGAGAUAAGUGUUUCAAAUGUAGGAAUUAUGUUCAUGUACCUACUUAUUGACGUGCAUAAAGCUUUUUAUCUGAUUAUUCGAUUCUAGUAUUCUAAAGCAAAUUCUUUCUUUUUUUCCAUUUUUUCAGAAAUCAUUUACAAAUAAUAUACGAAGGGUUUUCCCAAAUUUCACAACCACUACCUUACACACGUUUAAACCUAGAAAAUUUUUAAUGUUAGAAAAAAUUAUAUAAAUUUUCUUUUACGCAAACGUGUAAUUUUAACGCAUUUUCAACUAUUGCUUCAAUAUUCGCAAUUAUUUCAUUUAAUUGCGACUGCACUAAGUACUAAUUCGUAUGUUAUAUAAAAGUUUAGACUUUCCAAACGAGAGGUUGUGCUAUUAGCUAGUAGCGGUGUUGCAAAAAUUCAUUUUUUAAUGGUUGAAGUAAAUAAUGUGUCAUUACAUUACUCAUUACAUUAAUAUAUUAUAGGAAAAUUCAAUCUAUGGAAGACGAAGGUUGCACAUAAAAGUUGUUGUCACUACAUUAGCUAUAAUUAAUUAUUGUUAGUCGCUUCGAGAGUAAUUAAUUUCUUCUAGUUUGAUUAUGAGAAAAACAUUUUUCCUGCAUCCCAAUAAUAAUAAACAAGUAUUUUUGAAAUUGUGUUAUUUGAAAAAGGAACACAUGAAGUGUCAUUUGCAUCCAUAAACAUACAGUUGAAGGUUAGUAAUAAUUUAUCGUAAAAUAGAAAAGAAUGCAGCUUGAAAUGAAACCACAAUUAACACAAUUAGCAUUGCGAGGUCUAAUCUAAUUCAAAAAUAAAAAACAUACUUUUGCGUUGCCGUUGAUUUUUUUAUCCAUAAUGAAAAUGAAACUGGUCUCAUGCACAAAGUUAGCACCCACUGUAAUAAACCAUUAUUUUUAUUGACACGAAAAACAAAGCUUUCACAAGUAACGGUUGUUCGAGAACUAUUACAUAUAAACGUCCGCUAUUCUUUACGACAGGUCUUUGAAUGGACUCUCAGGAGGUUUCAGCCUGCAGGUACCCCUCUUCGAUUUCAUUUCACCUCCUUCAUCACCGAUAAAAAGUCCUGCAUGUUAUAUAACAAAACAGACUUUUAUUAGAACGAGAAAUGCGGCAUCUAAAUAAUUAACAAACUGGGCCAGUUUUUUGAUUUUUGAUUUUUGUCCAUUCGGUCUUUUGUGACAUUAAGUAUAAUUUAUGCUUUCUAAAUCUACUAAGUAGGUAAUGUAAUAUUAUAUGAGUACAAUUUCACUCUUCCACUUUCUACAACAUUUGCAAAAAAUCACCUCCGAACAAGCAGAUGAAUAAAAUAAUCACGUAGAGAAACUCUCUUACGUAACACUAAUCCAGAAGAAUUAUUUCGGGUUAUUAAAGUGAAUUACCAGUAAUUGAAUGGUCUUAAAAAUCAAUUAGAGAAAAAGCCGCUUCUACGAAAAUCAACCACUUUGAAAAAGUGUGCACGUUCUUGAAUAAUAAUCUGAAAUACCUAAGCACACAAUAUGGCAAUGUUUAUAGUACACCCACUUAUGCGGUGCUAAUGACACCUAAUUCUUUUAUUUGUAUUCCUCAUUGUUGUUCUGCUUGAAGAAAUAUAAAACUUAAAAUACGGGAAGAAGUAGAACAUAAAAAAUUACACGCUAAAUCUUGAAAGUUGGGACAAUCAUUGUGUGCUAGAAAAUCAAUUAAAAGUUUGUACAAUAAUGCGACCUGGAUUGAACCAUGUCGAGUUAAACGUACGAAAAUUUUCUGUUAGUUUUCCGGUUGUUGCAGCGUGACCUAGUCUAGAGUUGAGCAAAACCGCUCAUUAAAUAAUAAUUAGCACUGAAUAUUGUUUGCAAAAAAAGGCGUCAAGUUUGACACGUGGUUACAUAUGUAUGAUAGCUUUAUUUACUCGUCUGAUAGAUUAAUAAUUAUUGCUAUCGCUCGUUGAAGAACGAAUUAGUCAGAAACAACCAAAUUCAAUUUUAGGAAUAUUACCCGCAGGUGUAAUAAUUAUGAAUGACGUCUAUUGUAAUACGCAUUUGUGAUAAAUAAAUUGGUUUUUAAUAAGAUACGAAACAGGUAUUAGGUAAUCCCCACAUUACUAAUUUAAAUAAAAAAUCAGUAAUACAUCUUCAAUAAUUACCAUAAAUCAUUUUCAUGUGUUAGGUUUCAGUUAUUAGAUAAGUAGGUAUGCACAUUAAUUUCUAAAACGAAAUUCACUAAAAUAAAAUUAAUUGCUGUAAAUUGUAUUUCAUGGUCCAAUUAUUACAAAAAUGAUCAAAAGCCUACUUUUGGAACUUAUACAAAUACCACAAAUCAUAAUAUUUAUUCGACAAAGAUUAAAACUUACGGAAGUAAAGCCAAUCAAUCAGAAUAAAUUAUUUAUAGUAAAUAAAUACCAAAGAUUGUUGCUGAUAAAAAAUUAAAAUCCACGCAAGAAUUACCAACUAAAUUCAAAAAAAUAUAUUUUGAAUAUUCAAUACUUCGACAUUUAAACAGGUUCUGAUUUUGUUGUAUAAACCUUGAUUAUUUUUCAGUCUUAUUCGUUUCCAAGUUCAAGAUCAAUGCGACUGUUAUAAUUCGAUACGACCUUUGUCACCAUAAUGUUUUUACAGCUAGAUAUGUGGGAUAACAACAACAGGGCGAAUAAAAUUAUAGAACGAAGCGUUUUUGUUUAAACAAUUUUCCUUCAGAAAAUAAAUAUAUAGGGGUUAAUUAUGUGAUCAUAAAACUUUAUUUUCGUUUUGAGUUACAUGUACCAUUUUUUCGACAAAAAUUAAAAUUAAUUUGUAUAGUUGUAAUCCUUGAAUCGGGCCUUCUGAGACAAAAAAAUGUUUCUUAUUUUCAAUUCGAAAUAAGAUACCAGGAAAAUGUGGUACCUGGCAUGUUGCACAAAGUGAGUUAAUUAAAACUUUUAACGCUGCCAUUAAUUAACUGUUAAGAGGUUCCAAUUAAAUAAUUUUUGCGCUGACGUAGUAGAAACUAAUUCAUUUACAUAAUAGUUUUGGAGAAAUUAGAAAAAGAACUGGAUUAGUAUGAACUGAUUAGCAUAAAAUAUUGUUAACCUUUAGGCCUACCAAUUGUAGUAAAAAUCAAAAAUUUUGAUUUCAAAAUCAGUACAGUGUCUGGGAAACAGGGUUUGUUUUUGGAAAAAAAUACCAAGGCCGCCAGAUGGUUACGAGACAGGAAUUUUUAAAGACGUCAAUGUGGACUCGUAAUUAUAGAAUUUUGAACCAGAUUACCUGAACAUUCACCAUCAGACGCUGACCGAUUCGGUAACAAUAGCUCGGCAAUUCUAAUACAAUGGAAUAAUUUUCUAAGUAAACAGUUUUCGUCAACUAGCUAAAUUAGGAUAAUCUCAACUAGUUUUAGAAUAUGUAAAAAGGGGCCGCUUUUUUGAUGAUGGUUUCCUUAUUUUGUUUCUCCAUUACGGAUUGUAAUAUGCUAAUAUGACAUUUAGGCUUUAUCAAUAUUAUUCAAAUAAUAUAAUGACUAAUUAAGAAAUCAAAAUGUUUUUAACUCACUGACAACUAAAGUGAGUUUUUUUUUGUAUGAUACAAAACCGAGAGACGACUAUAAAGUGUGCUUUGUUUUAGUUAUUUGGUACUGUAAUUUUUAAGCAUCGGUCAAAUUUUUGAGUUAUUAAAAUAAAAAAAAUCUUUACUCGAGUAAAACGCAUGUAUAAAAUUAAAAAGUUAAAAAUACCAACAAAAAAAAAUAAUUAAAAUAUGUGAUCCACUAAUAACUGCUAUUAAUUUUACAAAGAUGCUUUGUCAUCCAUUUAUUUGAUUUGUUCGCCGGAAAUGACCUUUGGUUUAAAUUUGAAAUAAGUCAUAUGUUUGCAUAAUAAAUACUCGGUACCUUAUUUUAGUAACUGCCAUAACAAGAGUUGAAAAAAAUCGGUAGACUUACUCGUAAUUUGUCCUUUGUUGCAAAAUCCUCAGGUGCAUGAACCCCAUCUGCAGACCGACUUCAAGGUGAACACUUCACUUCACAAAUAGCUGUCUAAAAAAAGUCGCGACAACUUUCUGCCUUUUUACCUGAAACUAGUUUUUGGGGUAGGAAAAAUCAAACAAAAUUGUUUUACGAUAAAUGUAUUUAAUAAAUAAACACAUCCAAAGGUGAGUAUGGACAUUCAUAAUUUAAGUGUUAUCCACAUCGUUGUAUAAUUAUUUCAAGAAACUCUCCUCCAAAGAUGGAUACACGGUUAAAUCAAUAUUUACACUGAAGCAAGAAAGCGUCAAAAUAAUUUCCCAUUUGCUAGAAACCUACCUUCUAAAGGCCUCCUUAAUCUGCUCAGCUUUUGCAGGAACCGAAACAAUCGCAGUCUUAGUUCUUUUAGAGUCAAACAAUGCUAACAAAUAUUUUUUACCCACAUUAUUCAAUUCCUCCACCGUUACGUUGUGGAUCAGAUUGAGCAGAGUUCUAAAGCAAGCAGUUGAACGAAAAAUUCAAACAAGUACACCCAGCUGACCUAUUAUACGUAAAAUCAACUUGCUGGAAAUAGGAAAUGACCGAUAAUCCAAUCACACUCCCUAUAGUCUUCUCUUUUUCGAUCAGUUCGAAAAUGAGAGAACUCCUCGCAGAGUCGAUCAAAUUAGUAUCCCACUCUUGGUUAUUUAUCUGAUUUAAAAUUAUUUCCUUAGCUUCCAUAUAAGCACCGACUACGUUGGUGGCGCGCGAAAACACCAAAUAAAGGAGGCCCUCGUGGGGCUUAACCAUCAUAGUGUAGCCAUAGGCGUACCCUUUGCCCCUUAUUUGCCUCCACAUUGGGCCCUAGGACACACUUUGCAAAAAAUACACAAAAUAAAAGUAUCACCUCGGCUUGUAUCAAAUACUGUAAGUAGAGCAUCAAAGCAGGCAAGUCCGGGUCUUCGUACGAAGAAAUACUGUCAACAGUUUGAUGGAAGAAGGAAGAUUCCAGACAACCCAAGCCGAUAACACAACCAGUUAAAGUCUGCUCGUGAGACGGUUUUAUCAAUUUUAGAUCAGGCGUGACAUGGAGUCUAAAAUUUAAAUUAAAAAAAUAUUGCACGUAAUUAAAACGAAAUAUUAAUAAUUAAUUAAUAAUCGAAAUAAAGCACGUUUUCUGCACUUCUAGAGGUCACAAUAAAACGUUUAAAAAAUAAUAUUAAAUGAUAACUUCUGUAAAAUCAUUUCAGUUUUUGAUAUACAGUAAAAAUACACUUUUUGCAGAUACACUUUGAAAAAUUUUGAGAAUUAAGUGUGCAUCUUUGAUACCACUUACGGUAGUUUAAUUAUGAAAUUUAAUAAAUUACAUUUAACUGGAAAAAUACUAACGAAUUGCCGAGAAAAUGAAUGGAAUAAAACAAGAUUUAGUGAAACAAAUAGAACGACUAACUAUAAUAGCCUUAUAAUUAUACAAAAUUACACUUCAUUCGUUUCAAAAAUUAGGUACUUUCGAUUUAGGCGAAAAAAACUAAGAUUAUUUAAAAAAUAAUAAAAAUGUAAAAGGUGUUUUAUCGAAGAUGACGCCGUACUCGUAAUUUAUAUUUGCUUGUAAUCAGUAGUUUGUGUUCAAUUUUUGAAAAAUAUUAUGUUGUAUUAAAGUAUUAAAGUAACGGAAUAACUGCGCUCUUUGGCGACAUUAACGGAACUAUGGAGGCCGGGAACAUUUUAUUUCUCUAGUUUCAUAUCCUAACCUUUAGAUAUCCGUAGACUAUUCUGUUCGGAGCAAAAAAGUUGUACUGUAUUCUUAUUUUGAAAAUAAAUAAUAAUAAUAAUCACA